UGGUCAAUGAUGACUAGCCCACUGCGCAAUCUUAGUUCUUAUGAACAUGAUAGAAAUAGUGCUGUAUGUUUCUGAGACCA